rnacentral:lncRNA from 1 species
CUUUCUUGUAGUUUGGAGACCUAAUAGACCCCGAGGCUUGGUGGGUGGUUCUCUCCUGCUAACUUCUAAAGUUGAAGCUAAGGGGAUCAUUAUUUAUCUGGAGACUAUAAGGCUGUGCUGUCCAGUAUGGUAGUCACCAGCCUCAUGUGGCUGUUGAGAACUUGAAAUGUGGCUAGUCCGGAUCGAGAUGUGCUCUGAAUACAGACAAUAUGGAGGCCUCAGGCUCAGAGGAUGGCAGAGUCUUCAGAUGGAUGGAGGGAGCUGCAGUCACUGAACCACUGCAGGGAGAGAAGUACUCACAGACCAGGAACGCUCAACUUGGACUGUUAUGUGACAGAAAGAACUUGAUGUAUACCUCCUGACCUGUUCAUCUUGUAGCUGCCUCUUGACAGAUUUGGAUACUUCUUCAGCCUUUGCACAAUUUGGUGAAACCAUGUGACAGAGUCCUAGCUAAUGGAAUGAGAGUGGCGAUUCCUCUGGGAUCUAGAACUAGAAAUACCAUUUGACCCAGCCAUCCCAUUACUGGGUAUAUACCCAAAGGAUUAUAAAUCAUGCUGCUAUAAAGACACAUGCACAA